CUCCCUCCUUCCCUUUUUCCUCCUCCUCCCUCGCUCCCUUCUUCGUCCUCCCUCGUUCCCUUCUUUCUCCGCCUCCCUUCUUCCUCAAUUCCUCCUCCCUCAUUCCCUUCUUCCUCUGCCUCUCUUCUUCCUCUUCCCUCCUUCCUCCGCCUCCCUUCUUCCUCCCUCGCUCCGUUUUUCCACCUCCCUUCUUCUCUUUUUCUUCUGCCUCUCUUCCUCCUCCCUCCUUCCCUUUUACCUCUGCAUCCCCCUCACUUCUUCCUUUCUUGCUCCCUUCUUCUCCUAAAUCUAGAAAUAUAUUUCUAUUUCAUCAAACUAAGUAAUAAAUUUCUGAAAAGUUAUUUCUCAUUCAUCACACACACAUGAUGACAAUCUAGAAAAUUUUUUCUCAUUCCAUUUUUUUAUGAAAUACAUUUUCAAAAAUAUAUUUUCAAUUUCAAAUUUCCAGCAUCAAACACUACCUUAAGGAGCGUUUGAUUGCCCGGUUGAAAUACCGUUUUUUUCACCUGCCCGACAAAAAUUGCAUCAAACGGGGUGAAUUCCACCCACUCGACACCCUCUCCCCCCGCGCUCGACAUCUCCCCCUUCCCCCUCAUUUCCUCCCUCCGCCCGCAGCUCAUCCUCGCUCGACCCUGUCGCCUUCUCACUGUCGCACCGUCGCCGCUCCGCUGUCGCCGUCGUCCUCACCGGCAGAGAAAAGGGAUGCAGUAGAGAGAAAGGGCCAGAGCUCCCACCAUCGCCAUCGCCACACCGCCAGUUCGCCAACGCCACAGUCGUUGCUCCUCCACUGGUCUAUCGUUCGUAAUCGCCACAUUUGAGCAUUAAACAGCCGGUUCACCAUCGCCACAGGUAUCUCUCGUGCUGUCGUUGUGUCCCUUUCAAAAACGCCCAAAAAUCCCACUCACGCCACAGAAUCAUCGGCCACAUAUAUCAUUGGCUUGGGGACUUGGUGAUAUCAGCCAUUCUUUGCAGCAAGCAGUUAAUGAACUGAACAGAUGUAGUGUAGAAUAGGAAAGAAAUCAUAUACCAUCUGUAAAGUUCUAGUGGCAUGAGAAGAACAUUAGCGUUCACCACAAGCUUUUGUUCUCUUGCCGUGGAAGAUACUUGUUGCUGCGUUUUCCUGCAUGUAUGUAAUAAUAUUAUGCAAUAUCAAUGCACUAUGGCAUAAGAAUUGGGAGAUGUGUUUUUUGUCCUUGUGUCGAGGAUCUGGCAAUGUGGGAUACAUUUGGGUUCGGCCUUACCCUAUUGUUUGUUGGCGUUCUUAUUGUCAGAUCUUUCCUUAUGUGAGUAGCCAUUUUGAGUGUAACAGUCUAGCAUAGUGGAUAUGGUGAUUCUAGCUAUAAUUUCCGACAUGAUCUUUAAUGGAAUUAAAUUAUGAUAUA